AUGAGUUUAGAUUAAAAGGGAAUCCGGUUCGAGUCCGGAACAGCCGCCAUUACUGUAUUUGACACAACGGGAGUCCAUUUAUGCCAUUGGUGUGGCCUGUCCUUCGGCGGGUGCAUUGAGAAGGCGGACUAUCCGGUCAUAAGUCAGGAGACCUGCCGUGCUUUUUA
rnacentral:ncRNA from 1 species